rnacentral:rRNA from 1 species
GUCUACAGCCAUGCCAGCCUGAACAAGCCCGAUCCCAUCUGAUCUUGGAAGCUAAGCAGGUUUGGGCCUGGUUAGUACUUGGAUGGGAGACCACCUAGGAAGACCAGGUGCUGUAGGCG